AGUGAACGCUGGCUGUAGGCCUAACGCAUGCAAGUCGAACGGCAGCACAGUAAGAGCUUGCUCUUACGGGUGGCGAGUGGCGGACGGGUGAGGAAUACAUCGGAAUCUACUUUUUCGUGGGGGAUAACGUAGGGAAACUUACGCUAAUACCGCAUACGACCUACGGGUGAAAGCAGGGGAUCUUCGGACCUUGCGCGAUUGAAUGAGCCGAUGUCGGAUUAGCUAGUUGGCGGGGUAAAGGCCCACCAAGGCGACGAUCCGUAGCUGGUCUGAGAGGAUGAUCAGCCACACUGGAACUGAGACACGGUCCAGACUCCUACGGGAGGCAGCAGUGGGGAAUAUUGGACAAUGGGCGCAAGCCUGAUCCAGCCAUACCGCGUGGGUGAAGAAGGCCUUCGGGUUGUAAAGCCCUUUUGUUGGGAAAGAAAAGCAGCAGGUUAAUACCCCGCUGUUCUGACGGUACCCAAAGAAUAAGCACCGGCUAACUUCGUG
rnacentral:rRNA from 1 species